UUGAACGCUGGCGGCAGGCCUAACACAUGCAAGUCGAACGGUAACAGGAAGCAGCUUGCUGCUUGCUGACGAGUGGCGGACGGGUGAGUAAUGUCUGGGAAACUGCCUGGAUGGAGGGGGGUAACUACUGGAAACGGUAGCUAAUACCGCAUAACGUCGCAAGACCAAAGAGGGGGACCUUCGGGCCUCUUGCCAUCAGAUGUGCCCAGAUGGGAUUAGCUUGUUGGUGGGGUAACGGCUCACCAAGGCGACGAUCCCUAGCUGGUCUGAGAGGAUGACCAGCCACACUGGAACUGAGACACGGUCCAGACUCCUACGGGAGGCAGCAGUGGGGAAUAUUGCACAAUGGGCGCAAGCCUGAUGCAGCCAUGCCGCGUGUAUGAAGAAGGCCUUCGGGUUGUAAAGUACUUUCAGCGGGGAGGAAGGUGUUGUGGUUAAUAACCACAGCAAUUGACGUUACCCGCAGAAGAAGCACCGGCUAACUCCGUGCCAGCAGCUGC
rnacentral:rRNA from 1 species